rnacentral:rRNA from 1 species
CGAGUGGCGGACGGGUGAGUAAUGUCUGGGAAACUGCCCGAUGGAGGGGGAUAACUACUGGAAACGGUAGCUAAUACCGCAUAACGUCGCAAGACCAAAGAGGGGACCUUCGGGCCUCUUGCCAUCGGAUGUGCCCAGAUGGGAUUAACUAGUAGGUGGGGUAACGGCUCACCUAGGCGACGAUCCCUAGCUGGUCUGAGAGGAUGACCAGCCACACUGGAACUGAGACACGGUCCAG